UUAAGCUACGACUAAAUUUUUAUAGUAGAAAAAAUGACUUAUUUUUACAAAAAACUUUUUAACCAUUUGAGGACUUGUCUUAGCUCCACAUCGUUUCACGGCCCACUUCUGAUUGCUUUCUAUAUUUAUAACUACAGCGAUUGGCCGAAAUGUUUGCGUGCAAUGGAAAAACGUUUUCAUGGCACACCUUCUAGCGAGAUCAAGAAAGCAUUUUACAGAAGAUAACGCCAGCUGACCAUCAAAAAACGUGGCAAAACGGGCAAACAUUUAACAAUGGGCAAUUGUUUAUACAACAUACUGUCUUAAGCUAAUUUAACCAUGGACUGAAAACGAUUUAAAACAACAUGUUUUUUGACUUGGUGCAGCUGCUAAACUAUGAAAAUUAAAAUAAUAAAUAAAUAAUAUGGCGAUUAAUCAACUGAAUAAAUAAUUCAAAGUCGAGUGCUACUUCGAGUCAGACUCAAGACGGAAUUUCCUCUGGUGUGGCGAAUUUCGAGCCAAGACUUGGGCAAAUGAAUGUGGAAAUUCGGGUUCAUAAAUAGAAGCUAAAUAUGUUCAAGCCGCCAGCUGAGCCAAAAGAAAAUUUAAAUUGGAAUUAUCUGCGUAGCAAAUUAUGAUUACAUGAACAUAUAUAUAAAUUUUUUGCCUGUACAGUAUCUAAUAAUAUACCCGAUUUUGAAUACCCUAUAUAAUCAUUGGCAUAACAACUUUGACACAUUGCCAACGACAUGGGAGAACGUUGAGAACACACAAUUUAUGGCGCUUAAAUUGCAGUCAUGCGCAUGAGCGGCAACGGCUAACAAGAUCAACAUCUCAACGUGGAGCGUAGCCCCCAACCCCGCCAUCAAGCGGGUACCCUGCCCGAUAUCUGCCCCUUGACGCAAGCUAAUGCGAGUGCGGCUUAGGGCGGAUGUUUGGUGUCAAAACACGCGGCGCAUUUUCCCUGGAAUUUCAGAGCGUUACCCGCAGUCUGCGGAUCCUUACGCCUCAUCAUCGGCUCCGUUGUCGUCUCCGUCUCGGUCCCCAACUGCAACUCCGGGCUGGUUAAUUUAUGUUAGCGACGUGUUCGCCAGUGAAAACAAACGGGUCGAUCGAGAAUGGAGACGAUCGAUCGAUGCUGGGCUAUAAAAAUAGUGUUCGAAACUCGUUGCUCGGUCGGGGCUGUUGUUGCUUUUAUCAAUUUGUGUUCAUUUCUAAGCACGAAUCGGCCAGCAUAGAUCAUAAAAUGCUUGCCCCCGGCCAUGGUCAUUGUAAGGAAACAACAAUAACAACAACGACAGCAACUGAAAAUUUACAUAAUUACCGCUGGCGGUGCUUUUAUGAGAGCCGCCCGAACGUGUCAAAAUGAAAAGUGUUGCAUGAUUAGCGCGUAAAUAACACGGCCAAGGCAUAAAUCUCAUCGAGUAGUCAACUCCCCAGCCAAGGAGCCGUCUCCGGGUAAGAUAAUCAAAUAAAUGUAGCGAUUAAUAAAGAUGAAGAUGCUAGCCGUGGCUGGACAAAGACAAGCGCAAAGAGAACAAGAGGCCUCCAGGCGCAGAAUGCACGACCGGAAGAUACCCGGUACCAACAUUUCCAAAAAAAC
rnacentral:sRNA from 1 species